AUUGAACGCUGGCGGCAGGCCUAACACAUGCAAGUCGAACGAGUGGCGGACGGGUGAGUAAUGUGUGGGAAACCGCCUGAUGGAGGGGGAAAAACACUGGAAACGGUAGCUAAUACCGUAAACCAACAGAUGUGCCGAGAUGGGAUUAGCGAGUUGGUGGGGUAACGGCUCACCAAGGCGACGAUCCCUAGCUGGUCUGAGAGGAUGACCAGCCACACUGGAACUGAGACACGGUCCAGACUCCUACGGGAGGCAGCAGUGGGGAAUAUUGCACAAUGGGCGCAAGCCUGAUGCAGCCAUGCCGCGUGUAUGAAGAAGGCCUUCGGGUUGUAAAGUACUUUCAGCGGGGAGGCGUUACCCGCAGAAGAAGCACCGGCUAACUCCGUGCCAGCAGCCGCGGUAAUUC
rnacentral:rRNA from 1 species